rnacentral:tRNA from 1 species
GGGGCUGGGGCUCAGUGGUAGAGCGCUCACCUAGCACAUGAGAGUCACUGGGUUUGAUCCUCAGCACCA